rnacentral:rRNA from 1 species
UACGAAGGGGGCUAGCGUUGCUCGGAAUCACUGGGCGUAAAGCGCACGUAGGCGGCUUCUUAAGUCAGGGGUGAAAUCCUGGAGCUCAACUCCAGAACUGCCUUUGAUACUGAAGAUCUUGAGUUCGGGAGAGGUGAGUGGAACUGCGAGUGUAGAGGUGAAAUUCGUAGAUAUUAGGAAGAACACCGGUGGCGAAGGCGGCCCACUGGUCCGGUACUGACGCUGAGGUGCGAAAGCGUGGGGAGCAAACAGG